rnacentral:rRNA from 1 species
GACGAACGCUGGCGGCAUGCCUAAUACAUGCAAGUCGAGCGGAGUUGACGAGAGGCUUGCUUCUCUGAUGCUUAGCGGCGGACGGGUGAGUAACACGUAGGCAACCUGCCUUUCAGACUGGGAUAACUUCCGGAAACGGAUGCUAAUACCGGAUACAUCGUUUCUUCGCAUGAAGAGACGAGGAAAGACGGCGCAAGCUGUCACUGAGAGAUGGGCCUGCGGCGCAUUAGCUAGUUGGUGGGGUAAUGGCCCACCAAGGCGACGAUGCGUAGCCGACCUGAGAGGGUGAACGGCCACACUGGGACUGAGACACGGCCCAGACUCCUACGGGAGGCAGCAGUAGGGAAUCUUCCACAAUGGGCGAAAGCCUGAUGGAGCAAUGCCGCGUGAGUGAUGAAGGUUUUCGGAUCGUAAAGCUCCGUGCCAGGGAAGA